rnacentral:rRNA from 1 species
GAUGAACGCUGGCGGCGUGCCUAAUACAUGCAAGUCGAGCGAACAGACGAGGAGCUUGCUCCUCUGACGUUAGCGGCGGACGGGUGAGUAACACGUGGAUAACCUACCUAUAAGACUGGGAUAACUUCGGGAAACCGGAGCUAAUACCGGAUAAUAUAUUGAACCGCAUGGUUCAAUAGUGAAAGACGGUUUUGCUGUCACUUAUAGAUGGAUCCGCGCCGCAUUAGCUAGUUGGUAAGGUAACGGCUUACCAAGGCAACGAUGCGUAGCCGACCUGAGAGGGUGAUCGGCCACACUGGAACUGAGACACGGUCCAGACUCCUACGGGAGGCAGCAGUAGGGAAUCUUCCGCAAUGGGCGAAAGCCUGACGGAGCAACGCCGCGUGAGUGAUGAAGGUCUGCGGAUCGUAAAACUCUGUUAUUAGGGAAGAACAAAUGUGUAAGUAACGAUGCACGUCUUGACGGUACCUAAUCAGAAAGCCACGGCUAACUACGU